AGAGUUUGAUCCUGGCUCAGGACGAACGCUGGCGGCGUGCUUAACACAUGCAAGUCGAACGAGAAUCUAUGGAUCGAGGAUUCGUCCAAGUGAAGUAGAGGACAGUGGCGGACGGGUGAGUAACGCGUGAGGAACCUGCCUUUCAGAGGGGGACAACAGUUGGAAACGACUGCUAAUACCGCAUGACACAUAGAGAUCGCAUGGUUUUUAUGUCAAAGAUUUAUCGCUGAAAGAUGGCCUCGCGUCUGAUUAGCUAGUUGGUGAGGUAACGGCCCACCAAGGCGACGAUCAGUAGCCGGACUGAGAGGUUGACCGGCCACAUUGGGACUGAGAUACGGCCCAGACUCCUACGGGAGGCAGCAGUGGGGAAUAUUGGGCAAUGGGCGCAAGCCUGACCCAGCAACGCCGCGUGAGGGAAGAAGGUUUUCGGAUUGUAAACCUCUGUUGACGGAGAAAAAAAUGAUGGUAUCCGUUUAGAAAGCCACGGCUAACUACGUGCCAGCAGCCGCGGUAAUACGUAGGUGGCAAGCGUUGUCCGGAUUUACUGGGUGUAAAGGGCGUGUAGGCGGAGAAGCAAGUCAGAAGUGAAAUCCAUGGGCUUAACCCAUGAACUGCUUUUGAAACUGUUUCCCUUGAGUAUCGGAGAGGCAGGCGGAAUUCCUAGUGUAGCGGUGAAAUGCGUAGAUAUUAGGAGGAACACCAGUGGCGAAGGCGGCCUGCUGGACGACAACUGACGCUGAGGCGCGAAAGCGUGGGGAGCAAACAGGAUUAGAUACCCUGGUAGUCCACGCUGUAAACGAUGAAUACUAGGUGUGCGGGGACUGACCCCCUGCGUGCCGCAGUUAACACAAUAAGUAUUCCACCUGGGGAGUACGAUCGCAAGGUUGAAACUCAAAGGAAUUGACGGGGGCCCGCACAAGCGGUGGAUUAUGUGGUUUAAUUCGAAGCAACGCGAAGAACCUUACCAGGGCUUGACAUCCUACUAACGAAGUAGAGAUACAUCAGGUGCCCUUCGGGGAAAGUAGAGACAGGUGGUGCAUGGUUGUCGUCAGCUCGUGUCGUGAGAUGUUGGGUUAAG
rnacentral:rRNA from 1 species